AGAGUUUGAUCAUGGCUCAGGACGAACGCUGGCGGUGUGCUUAAUACAUGCAAGUCGAACGAUGAAGUCGCUUUCGGGUGACUAUCAGUGGCGGACGGCUGAGUAACACGUAGGUAACGUGCCCUUUACUGGGGGAUAACAUCGGGAAACCGGUGCUAAUACCGCAUAAGUAAAGAGUUGAAAUACUUUUUAUUAAAGAAUUUCGGUAAAGGAUCGGCCUGCGUCUGAUUAGCUAGUUGGUAGGGUAAAGGCCUACCAAGGCAAUGAUCAGUAGUUGGUCUGAGAGGAUGACCAGCCAGAGUGGGACUGAGACACGGCCCACACUUCUACGGAAGGCAGCAGUAGGGAAUUUUGCGCAAUGGGCGAAAGCCUGACGCAGCAACACCGCGUGUAGGAUGAAGGAUCUUGGUCUGUAAACUACUGUCAGCAGGGAAUAAUUUUGACUGUACCUGCAGAGGAAGCAUCGGCUAACUACGUGCCAGCAGCCGCGGUAGGACGUAGGAUGCAAGCGUUGUCCGGAAUUAUUGGGCGUAAAGAGUUCGUAGGCGGUUAUCUAAGUCUGAUGUUAAAGCCCGAAGCUCAACUUCGGCAUGGCAUUGGAAACUGGGUAGCUAGAGUGUGGUAGAGGUCUCGGGAAUUCCUGGUGUAGCGGUGAAAUGCGUAGAUAUCAGGAGGAACACCGGUGGCGAAAGCGCGAGACUGGGCCAUAACUGACGCUGAGGAACGAAAGCCAGGGGAGCGAAAGGGAUUAGAUACCCCUGUAGUCCUGGCCGUAAACGAUGGAUACUAGGUGUUGGAGG
rnacentral:rRNA from 1 species